rnacentral:lncRNA from 1 species
GCAACUUGGAGGAGAACUGCUGUGUGCGCCCCCUCUACAUUGACUUCCGGCAGGAUCUAGGCUGGAAAUGGGUCCACGAACCUAAGGGUUACUAUGCCAACUUCUGCUCAGGCCCUUGCCCUUACCUCCGCAGCUCAGACACAACCCACAGCACGAACCCCCAAGGUGGAGCAGCUGUCCAACAUGGUGGUGAAGUCGUGUAAGUGCAGCUGAGGCCAGUCUGCAACAGAGGAGGGGAAACUGCCACCACCGACUGCUGCUCCUUGGAAAACCAAAGCAACAGACCUCACCCUAGAGGCCUGGAGCCCACAAGCCCUGGCUCCCGAUGGCGAAAGGCCGAGAGGGAGGCUUCCUUCUGGAACAUUUCUUUCUGCUAGCUC